CAGAGGUCUCAAGCGUUGUUCGGAAUUACUGGGCGUAAAGGGUGCGCAGGCCGCGCGGGCAGUCAAAUGUGUAAUUCAGGGGCUCAACCCCUGCACUGCGCUUGAUACUUCCGCGCUCGAGCUUUGGAGAGGAGUCUGGAACUCUCGGUGUAGCAGUGAAAUGCGUGGAUAUCGAGAAGAACACUUAGGGCGUAGGCAAGACUCUGGACAAAUGCUGACGCUCAUGCACGAAGGCUAGGGUAGCGAACGGGAUUAGAUACCCCGGUAGUCCUAGCUGUAAACGGUGCACGUUUGGUGUGGGGAGCAACCCUCCCUGUGCCGGAGCUAACGCGUUAAACGCGCCGCCUGGGUAGUACGGUCGCAAGACUA
rnacentral:rRNA from 1 species